rnacentral:piRNA from 1 species
GCCUAGUACAAGCUUCCUAUUCUGGUGAUA